rnacentral:rRNA from 1 species
UGCGCAGGCGGGGCAAUUAGUCAGUGGUGAAAUCCUGCGGCUUAACCGUAGAACUGCCAUUGAUACUGUUGCUCUUGAGUAUAGUUGAGGUGGGCGGAAUGUGUAAUGUAGCGGUGAAAUGCAUAGAGAUUACACAGAACACCAAUUGCGAAGGCAGCUCACUAAGCUAUAACUGACGCUGAGGCACGAAAGCGUGGGGAGCGAACA